ACGGCUCAGUAACACGUAGUCGACAUGCCAGGGACGAGAUAACCUCGGAAACUGAGGAUAAUCACGAUAGUCAUAAUAUCUGGAAUGAUUUAUGGCUCAAAUCUACAUGGGCCUGGAUAGCUUGCGGCCGAUCAGGUCGUUGGUGAGGUAAUGGCCCACCAAACCUAAACCGGUACGGGCUCUGAGAGGAGAAGCCCGGAGAUGGGCACUGAGACAAGGGCCCAGGCCCUAUGGGGCGCAGCAGGCGCGAAAACUCUGCAAUAAGCGAAAGCUUGACAGGGGUAUUCCAAGUGAUUUCCGCUAAGGAAGUCUUUCGGCAUCUCUAAAAAUGGUGCAGAAUAAGGGGUGGGCAAGCCUGGUGUCCAGCCGCCGCGGUAAUACCAGCACCCCAAGUGGUCGGGACGAUUAUUGGGCCUAAAGCAUCCGUAGCCGGUUCUACAAGUCUUCCGUUAAAUCCAUGUGCUUAACAGAUGGGCUUCGGAGGAUACUAUGGAGCUAGGAGGCGGGAGAGGCAAGCGGUACUUAGUGGGUAGGGGUAAAAUCCGUUGAUCCUUUGAAGACCACCAGUGGCGAAGGCGGCUUGCCAGAACGCGUUUGACGGUGAGGGAUGAAAGCUGGGGGAGCAAACCGGAUUAGAUACCCGGGUAGUCCCAGGUGUAAACGAUGCAGACUCGGUGAUGAAAAGCCUUCGAGCCUUUUCAGUGCCGCAGGGAAGCCGUUAAGUCUGCCGCCUGGGGAGUACGGUCGCAAGACUGAAACUUAAAGGAAUUGGCGGGGGAG
rnacentral:rRNA from 1 species